rnacentral:rRNA from 1 species
GACGAACGCUGGCGGCGUGCCUAAUACAUGCAAGUCGAGCGGACCUCUUCGGAGGUCAGCGGCGGACGGGUGAGUAACACGUGGGCAACCUGCCUGUAAGACUGGGAUAACACCGGGAAACCGGUGCUAAUACCGGAUAAUUCUUUUCCUCACAUGGGGAAAAGCUGAAAGACGGUUUCGGCUGUCACUUACAGAUGGGCCCGCGGCGCAUUAGCUAGUUGGUGGGGUAACGGCCCACCAAGGCGACGAUGCGUAGCCGACCUGAGAGGGUGAUCGGCCACACUGGGACUGAGACACGGCCCAGACUCCUACGGGAGGCAGCAGUAGGGAAUCUUCCGCAAUGGACGAAAGUCUGACGGAGCAACGCCGCGUGAGCGAAGAAGGCCUUCGGGUCGUAAAGCUCUGUUGUCAGGGAAGAACAAGUAUCGGAGUAACUGCCGGUACCUUGACGGUACCUGACCAGAAAGCCACGGCUAACUACGUGCCAGCCGCCGCCGUAAUAC